UGCCUUACAUUGACGGAUCAGACAGCAGU
rnacentral:piRNA from 1 species